rnacentral:rRNA from 1 species
UACGAAGGGGGCUAGCGUUGCUCGGAAUCACUGGGCGUAAAGGGUGCGUAGGCGGGGCUUUAAGUCAGGGGUGAAAUCCUGGAGCUCAACUCCAGAACUGCCUUUGAUACUGAGGAUCUUGAGUUCGGGAGAGGUGGGUGGAACUGCGAGUGUAGAGGUGAAAUUCGUAGAUAUUCGCAAGAACACCAGUGGCGAAGGCGGCUCACUGGCCCGAUACUGACGCUGAGGCACGAAAGCGUGGGGAGCAAACAGG